UUUCUACUCACUUUGUCCGGAAAUACUUGUCAUUAAAAUGAAUAAAAAGGGAUGUAUCUAGAUGUAUUUUAGUUAGAUACAUCUUUUUUAUCCAUUCUGAAAACAAGUAUUUUCAUACGGAGGGAGUAUUUA
rfam:Triticum urartu cultivar G1812 contig728745, whole genome shotgun sequence.